UGAGGAAUAUUGGUCAAUGGACGGGAGUCUGAACCAGCCAAGUAGCGUGCAGGAUGACGGCCCUAUGGGUUGUAAACUGCUUUUAUAGGGGGAUAAAGUGUGCCACGUGUGGCAUAUUGCAGGUACCCUAUGAAUAAGGACCGGCUAAUUCCGUGCCAGCAGCCGCGGUAAUACGGAAGGUCCGGGCGUUAUCCGGAUUUAUUGGGUUUAAAGGGAGCGUAGGCCGGAGAUUAAGCGUGUUGUGAAAUGUAGACGCUCAACGUCUGCACUGCAGCGCGAACUGGUUUCCUUGAGUACGCACAAAGUGGGCGGAAUUCGCGGUGUAGCGGUGAAAUGCUUAGAUAUCACGAAGAACUCCGAUUGCGAAGGCAGUCU
rnacentral:rRNA from 1 species